rnacentral:rRNA from 1 species
CAAUAGCGUAUAUUAACGUUGUUGCAGUUAAAAAGCUCGUAGUUGGAUUUCUGGAGGGAGCGUCGGCCCGUAUUUACGAGUGCGUGACGUCUCUGUCCAUCCUUGCGGGAAGGCACGGCAUUAAUUUGUUGUGUCGGAUCGCAUCAUUUACUGUGAAAAAUUAGAGUGUUCAAAGCAGGCUUUCGCUUGAAUACAUUAGCAUGGAAUAAUAAGAUAGGACUUUGGUGCUAUUUUGUUGGUUGAGCCUAAAGUAAUGAUUAAUAGGGAUAGUUGGGGGCACCUGUAUUGCGUUGUCAGAGGUGAAAUUCUUGGAUUUACGCAAGACAAACAGCUGCGAAAGCGUCUGCCAAGGAUGUUUUCAUUAA